UGGCGAUAAAGGGUGUGAAAAGCACCCUCGCCGAAAGCCCAAGGUUUCCUGCGCAACGUUCAUCGGCGCAGGGUGAGUCGGCCCCUAAGGCGAGGCCGAAAGGCGUAGUCGAUGGGAAACGGGUCAAUAUUCCCGUACCGAUCACAGAUGCGAUGAGGGGACGGAGAAGGUUAGCUCAGCCGGGUGUUGGAUGUCCCGGUUUAAGCGUGUAGGCGUGCUGCAUAGGCAAAUCCGUGCGGCUUAGCUGAGGCGUGAUGACGAGGAACUUCGGUUCUGAAGUGAGUGAUACCCAGCUUCCAGGAAAAGCCUCUAAGCUUCAGUCUGUGAUUGACCGUACCGCAAACCGACACAGGUGGGCAGGAUGAAAAUUCUAAGGCGCUUGAGAGAACUCAGGAGAAGGAACUCGGCAAAUUGAUACCGUAACUUCGGGAGAAGGUAUGCCUCGGUAGCGUGAAGCCCCUGCGGGUGGAGCGUGAUGAGGUCGCAGAGAAUCGGUGGCUGCAACUGUUUAAUAAAAACACAGCACUCUGCAAAGGCGAAAGCCGACGUAUAGGGUGUGACGCCUGCCCGGUGCCGGAAGGUUAAGUGAUGGGGUGCAAGCUCUUGAUCGAAGCCCCGGUAAACGGCGGCCGUAACAAUAACGGUCCUAAGGUAGCGAAAUUCCUUGUCGGGUAAGUUCCGACCUGCACGAAUGGCGUAAUGAUGGCCACACUGUCUCCUCCUGAGACUCAGCGGAGUUGAAAUGUUUGUGAAGAGGCAAUCUACCCGCGGCUAGACGGAAAGACCCCAUGAACCUUUACUGUAGCUUUGCAUUGGACUUUGACGGGACUUGUGUAGGAUAGGUGGGAGGCUGUGAGGCGUGGUCGCCAGAUCGCGCGGAGCCAACCUUGAAAUACCACCCUGGUGUCGUUGAGGUUCUAACCUUGGUCCGUGAAUCCGGAUCGGGGACCGUGCAUGGCAGGCAGUUUGACUGGGGCGGUCUCCUCCCAAAGAGUAACGGAGGAGUACGAAGGUCUUCUAAGCACGGUCGGACAUCGUGCUCAUAGUGCAAUGGCAAAAGAAGGCUUGACUGCGAGACCCACAAGUCGAGCAGGUGCGAAAGCAGGUCAUAGUGAUCCGGUGGUUCUGUAUGGAAGGGCCAUCGCUCAACGGAUAAAAGGUACUCUGGGGAUAACAGGCUGAUUCCACCCAAGAGUUCAUAUCGACGGUGGAGUUUGGCACCUCGAUGUCGGCUCAUCACAUCCUGGGGCUGUAGCCGGUCCCAAGGGUAUGGCUGUUCGCCAUUUAAAGUGGUACGUGAGCUGGGUUUAAAACGUCGUGAGACAGUUUGGUCCCUAUCUGCCGUGGGCGCUGGAAAUUUGAGGGGGCCUGCUCCUAGUACGAGAGGACCGGAGUGGACGAACCUCUGGUGUACCGGUUGUCACGCCAGUGGCAUCGCCGGGUAGCUAAGUUCGGAGGAGAUAAACGCUGAAAGCAUCUAAGCGUGAAACUCGCCUCAAGAUGAGAUUUCCCGGGGGUUCAACCCCCCUGAAGGGUCGUCCAAGACCAGGACGUUGAUAGGUCAGGU
rnacentral:rRNA from 1 species